UACGUAGGGGGCAAGCGUUGUCCGGAAUCAUUGGGCGUAAAGAGCUCGUAGGCGGCUCAGUAAGUCGGGUGUGAAACCUCCAGGCUCAACCUGGAGACGCCACCCGAUACUGCUGUGGCUAGAGUCCAGUAGGGGAGUGUGGAAUUCCCGGUGUAGCGGUGAAAUGCGCAGAUAUCGGGAGGAACACCUAUGGCGAAGGCAGCUCGCUGGGACGGUACUGACGCUGAGACGCGAAAGCGUGGGGAGCAAACAGG
rnacentral:rRNA from 1 species